rnacentral:rRNA from 2 species
UUAAAUUGAAGAGUUUGAUCAUGGCUCAGAUUGAACGCUGGCGGCAGGCCUAACACAUGCAAGUCGAGCGGAAACGACACUAACAAUCCUUCGGGUGCGU